UAUCUGGCUGUUUCAUCAUCCUAUUGACUCUGUUCUAUGUUAAACUUCAAUCUUAUCAAUGUCAUAGGUUCUUGAGUUUGAAUGCAAAGCAAUCAUUGGUUAACCAUUACUGAUUAUUAUUUUUUAUGUAAAAUGUUUCGAGUUCCUUCAGUUGUUGAUGCACAUUCCAUGAAUGGCUAAUGCAGGCCCAUGAUGGGAAAGGACCUACAUUUCUCGGAUCAUCAUGCUAAUAUGUCAGGUAGCACAGCUUGAAAAUUUAUUUUAAAUGAUAAUACUUCCCAAAGAACUCAUAGAAGGGUCAAGAUGUUUGAACUUUGUGGAUCUAUACUUUCAAGCCAUAUUGAAUGAGAAUGGUAAUUACCUAUCUGCACUGAAAAUUAAUUUUCCGUUAGUGAUUGUUCUUAAUUGUUACAAGCUCUUGUUCUAUCAGGGCCCAAUCAGAUCCAAGAAAAAGUUCCUAACCAUACAAUCUUUGUCCUUUUUCCUAGGCUUGUUACUGUAUUUUUUUCCUUAACUGUUUACUCGUAGGCCAUUGAUCGAAGGAUUAGGAACUUCCAAUCUGGGGACAUUCUCUGUCCAAAUUGAGACCCAUCAGAGCUAUAGUCUAGAAUAUCACCAGCCGGGCCGGAUUGUAACAGGCUCAUGACUUGUUUUAGUAUAAAUAGUAGAACAUUGUUUUUAAGUUUUAACUAGAGAUCUGAUUUGUGGUCUUUCUUUUGUAGUAGAAGUUACUUGGCAUGUGUGAGGCAAAUGGAUGUGACAUAGUGAGUGGUCACUAAUGCAAGUUCAUUUAUGAAUGGUUAUUGACUAUUUUAACAAGGCACUGGAGGGCUCAAGUAUAGAUCUGUCAUAAGCCAGUAUCUCUGUGUAGAUUGAUCUUGGGAAACAAACAAUUACAUGACCGCCACUGCUAAGCUCGCUCUCUGUAUUUGCACUGCAUCCGUUAUAUUUGAGAGUACCAGCACUUUCAGAAAAUAUGCCAGAGGAUAUUAAGCAAGAAAUCUUGAAGGAAAGAAGAACGGGUAGAUGGAAAGGUAUUGCCUCCUGCAAAAUAGAGAGAAAUGUAAAGGAGAUUGGUGUAAAGGGAAGAGGAUCUUUGUAGCACGUGUCAGAUUUGGGAUAUUCAUCAGUUGGGGACCAGACUCACCAAGAAAAGGAUGAUGACCUUUUCUUUGUAUUCUCAGUAUUAUUG